rnacentral:rRNA from 1 species
AUACGGAGGGUGCAAGCGUUAUUCGGAAUCACUGGGCGGAAAGGACGCGUAGGCGGGUUGGCAAGUCAGAUGUGAAAUCCUACAGCUUAACUGUAGAACUGCAUUUGAAACUGCUAACCUAGAGUAUGGGAGGGGGAGAUGGAAUUAGUGGUGUAGGGGUAAAAUCCGUAGAUAUCACUAGGAAUACCGAAAGCGAAGGCGAUCUCCUGGAACAUAACUGACGCUAAGGCGUGAAAGCGUGGGGAGCAAACAGGAUUAGAAACCCUUGUAGUCC